rnacentral:rRNA from 1 species
CAGCUAUACAUGCAAGUCGUGGGGCAGCAGGAAGUAGCAAUACUUUGCUGGCGACCGGCAAACGGGUGCGUAACACGUACGCAACUUUCCCUUUACUGGAAGAUAGCCCACCGAAAGGUGGAUUAAUACUCCAUAUUAUAAUAAAACGGCAUCGUUUUAUUAUCAAAGCUCAGGCGGUAAAGGAUGGGCGUGCGGCUGAUUAGAUAGUUGGCGGGGUAACGGCCCACCAAGUCUACGAUCAGUAGCUGAUGUGAGAGCAUGAUCAGCCACACGGGCACUGAGACACGGGCCCGACUCCUACGGGAGGCAGCAGUAAGGAAUAUUGGUCAAUGGACGCAAGUCUGAACCAGCCAUGCCGCGUGAAGGAUGAAGGUCCUCUGGAUUGUAAACUUCUUUUAUAUGGGACGAAACACUUUCUUUCUAGAGAGCUUGACGGUACCAUAGGAAUAAGCACCGGCUAACUCCGUGCCAGCAGCCGCGGUAAUACGGAGGGUGCAAGCGUUAUCCGGAUUCACUGGGUUUAAAGGGUGCGUAGGCGGGCAGGUAAGUCAGUGGUGAAAUCCUGGAGCUUAACUCCAGAACUGCCGUUGAUACUAUCUGUCUUGAAUAUUGUGGAGGUAAGCGGAAUAUGUCAUGUAGCGGUGAAAUGCUUAGAUAUGACAUAGAACACCUAUUGCGAAGGCAGCUUACUACGCAAUCAUUGACGCUGAGGCACGAAAGCGUGAGGAUCAAACAGGAUUAGAUACCCUGGUAGUCCACGCCCUAAACGAUGGAUACUCGACAUACGCGAUACACAGUGUGUGUCUGAGCGAAAGCAUUAAGUAUCCCACCUGGGAAGUACGACCGCAAGGUUGAAACUCAAAGGAAUUGGCGGGGGUCCGCACAAGCGGUGGAGCAUGUGGUUUAUUUCGAUGAUACGCGAGGAACCUUACCUGGCUAGA